UAUUAAAGAUGGACAAUCCAUAGGAUCAGUAUCUAAUCGGGGUUUAAUUAAUCAGGUACCGUUCCUCCGGUUACUCUCCUUUGUACCAUGGUUGCGGCUUCCGGAUCCUUCCCACCGCCUCUCUCUUUCACCGUUUUCAUUCCUUAUCUAUUCAACUGCAACUAAUCUUUGUCUUCGAACCCAAACUCAAACAACUGUUCAUCGUCGGCUUCUUCUUCUCCGCAUCUGCUGCCCCCAUCUUUGGUUGAUUCCCAUAUCCGACUGAGACGUACUCUGGCUUAUUCUUCUUCACCGUUUUGCUUAUUCCUCCACCGCCUCAUCUAAUACUCCUUUAUUCCAUUUUGAGGCUGCCUCUCCCGUCUUCCGCUUCCGAUUCAGAUCAGACAUGUUUCUGCUUUUUCUUUUUAGCGACUUUGUUUCUUUAUUUCUCGGCAGCGGAGGUGGUUUUCAGCCAGCUCCAAUACCGACUGGUUUUGAACGAGCUCCGUGUAUCCGUUCUCUCAUCUGGAAUCAGUUCAGUGAUUUUACCCUUCGUGGCGAAAAGAGGAGCGCUUCAAUGCAUCUGAUGCUGAUGGAGAUGGUUUGUUGAAUGUAACUGACUUCAAUGAGUAACUUCUUAAAGCUUUCAGCACCCUGCAGAGACUCAUAAUCCAAGACUGAUUCAAACUACUUGUAUGAUGUGGAACUUCUAUCCGUCAUCGGGAAGCUUCACUCUUCAGAUUGUUAUAAUGCCAAACAAUAGAUAGGUUAUAUUAUAUCACAGGUAAGCAUGGUUGAUUUUGAUGUCUUCUUAUAACUUUGGCCUUGAAAUUGUAGUAAUUCAGUAGAUACAAUCAUGUAGAUUGACUUCUUUGUGUGAAUAGUCAAUGACUUUUUUCAGAUUUGAGCAAAUUGAUUGAGGGUUUGUAAGUUGACUAGAUAACAUGCGUAAUAAGCAUCAGAAAACCUACAUAUCUUUUACUUCACCUUCUUCCGUAUCUACUGCUGAUUCCUUUGAUUCUCCUUUUUAGGGAUUUAGAAAGGCUAGUGAAAGUGGAUUUACAAAAUUCACAGAAUGAAUUGCCAACUUCGGAGCAGCAAAAGUCAGAUGAUAAGAUGUUGAAGUUGGUAUAUGAUCAAAAGGUUCAUUUAAUUCUUCUUUUUAAGUCUUGAGUUCUAUGAUUUGGGUUCUGCUUUCGGUAUCGAUUUGAAGAUCUAUUAACACAUAUUUUGCCAUGCCAUAAGGACGAAGGGUAUUUUAGGGGCAUAAAUUUUUUUCUUGAAUUCUAAGAUUCUAAGAUAUGACCUUUUGGAAAAAAAAUAAAUAAAUAAAAGUUUAAUCUGUUUUCAAAUGGUACCUCAGAUACAGAUAAGAAACGGUCCCUCUCUGUGUAUUGUUGCACCUUCUCCCGUGGUUGCCUAGUAAAGGCAACAUACAUCAUGUAAAUUUUCUGCAAAAUAAAAAAGAAAAAAGGUAUAAAUAACAUUUAUAUUGAUUAUUAGACAAACAGAAAAUGAAAAUUCAACUGGGAAAAGAUAGAUGUACAGACAUGGCGAGACUGAACAGCUUCAUUGACUUGGCGCCUUAUACCCUCAACAUGACCCUGCAAGAAACAAACUAAGAAUUGAACUUACGUUUUUAUUUAUUUCAUAAAUAUAAUGAGGGUAUUUUAGUCUUUUAACAAAAGAAAGGAAGAAUAGAAUUGGAUUCCCACCCUCCUUUAGGAACAUGGAAUUUGAAGGAUUCCAGGAAAUGAAUUCUGUCCACAUUUGGCAUCUAAACAAACCUUGGAAAAGAAUCUCAAAUUCCAAUUCCACAUGCAUAAAGAACGAAAACAGCAUUUGUUCUUAGAAAUUACAAAAGAAAAAAAAAAGGAGGCAUACCCCACAUCCACUUUGUGGUUGAUGUAUCAUAAUACGGACAUUUGACAUUUCAUAUCUCAUGCCCUUUUCCCCACCAGCAAGAAGUGCUCCGAAAAUUAUGAGGGGGGCUUUCUGUUUAAUUUGGCUGGAAUUGGAAUUUAAUUCCAUUCCAGUGUUGGUUCCAAGGGUGAUACAUAUGUUACAGGGCUUGCCAUGUCUAAGCUUUGGAGAAUUUCAAAUCGUACUAAACGAGUUUAUUCUCCUUCUGAUACAACUGGAUUGCAGGUUUGUUUUUUCUAUUUGUCAUACUUAAUUAUAUACAAUUUUAUCUUCGGAGCUAUCUAAGUCCAUCCCCACAAAGUGGGGUUAUCAAACGAUCUUUAAUUUUAUAUCCUUUUAAAACAUGAUUGGUCAAUAUUCUUAUAGCAAAGCAGAGGACGUCCCACAAAUGUAAUCCUUCGUAUUCAUAAGAAGCACCAGAUGCCAAAAACUAUCAUAUCUGUUUAGAUCUAUCCCCGCAACGCGGGGCUCCUCGUCUAGUUCAUAAGAUAGAUCAUCACCGCACCAAACCAAUUUGUUAAAAUUGACAAUCAACUCAUCAACUUCGUCCACAGAUAACGAAUUAUUCUUAGAAUGUUUUCCGGCAAAUCAUUCAACAAUCAACUUCAUCAAAUUACCUUCACAUCGAUUUCCGAUAUAAUCACCAAAAUCAUCGAAUUGAAUAUCCAGAUCAAACAAAUUUCGACAAUUUACGAACUCUAGAAAAAUGAUAAAUUAAUCGACAGCGGUGGAUAAGAUUUUGAGAAACAAAUUUCGAUUUGAGAAUAUGAUAUGAAGAAUCGAAUGAGUGGAUGCUUUUCUGAUUGAAUCAUGGAUAAUCAAUAUACGAACUGGACUCGAAGUAUUAACGCCAAAGCAUUUUGAAAUUGGGCCAAAGAAAUUUUAUAUGAACAGUAACAUACUGGAAGUAUACUGGAUCAAAAAUAAAAUUGGGCUGGAAGUUUACGAUUUGAUCCAAUAAGAAUAUGAACAGAAAAAAGAUCACACAAGUUUGGGAUAAAUUUGGGCUUUGAACAGUUAAACUCUUCAUAUCUGAACAAAAGCAUAAAAAUAUAAACAUGACUUUAUAAAAGUGAGAGACAUCAAAAUCAUUCGAGUUUUGUAGAAGUUGUCAAAAAGUGGAUCGUUCCAUGAACCACUCGCUUGAAACUUCAUGGUCUGAUGCAAGUUGUUUGGACAUGAACGUUUGAUUUGACACAUAAUAAUCUCUCUCUCUCUCUCUCUCUCUCUCUCUCUCUCUCUCUCUCUCUCUCUCUCUCUCUCUCUCUCUCUCUCUCUCUCUCUCUCUCUCUCUCUCUCUCUCUCUCUCUGUAAUAUUGUCCGUUUUGGGCUCCCGACACGAAAACUUCACAUGGGUUACCCAUCUUUGUAGUGCUCUCGCCCGGGUAUGCCUAACUGCAAAGUUCUUAUGGGAUCUGCAGUCCUCAUGACUUUGAAACGCGUUGUAACAGGGAAGAUAUCCACACCCUUUUUAAGGAAUGCUUAGUUCUCCUUUCCAGCCGAUGUGGGAUCAGGUGCAGCUAACCUGCCCGCCUUAACUUGUAACAUCCCAAAAUUUUCAAUAAAUUAUAACUCUUUUUUAAUAACAUAAAUCAUCCAUUUAGUAUCUUUUUAUUCAAAACAAAUGAAAUACCAAACCCCAAGAUCAAUUCAAUUUCCAAACAUUAUUUAAUUAUAAUUCUAAAAUUUAUGAAAACAUAACCAAUUCAACAUGAAUUCCAAAAACCCGCCUCGAGCCAGUAUGUACAAAGCUUAGUGAAUUCCGCACAUACACAUUAUCAUAUCAUAUAAUCAUUACCCAUAUACACAGAUACAAACAGUAUCAGACACAUAACCACACAUACAUGUCAAAGAACGAAUCAGUAACAGACAUAUUCCUACUCGGAGACAUUGGGUAGGCUUGAUCCCCCUUGCUUAGUACAUCGAGCCCUUGGGACACAUUGGAUAAGCUGGUUCCCCCGUACCCAAACCCAUUGGGACACACUGGCCAUGCCCGAUCCCCCUUGCUCAGUUCGUCGAGCCUUUGGGACACAUUCGCUACGCCUGAUCCCCACUCGGAUGCGUCGAGUCCUACCAUGCAUAAUCCUCACUAAGUGAGGGAAAAUACUAGACUCUACCCUGCUUAGUACUACCCACAUAAACAACACAUAGCACACACGAUAUAAAGUAAAGAAAAUAUAACACAACACGGUGUAGUGAAAAACUCACCUACAAAAGCAAAGCAACCUCCAAAGCAACCCGAGACUCACUCACACCUGCUUUAUCUUCACACUUCAUAGUAAUAAUGAUUUAAGUUAAGUUUAGUUAUUUAUUUUCCCUAAUUAUCCAAAUAGACUAAGGGUUUAAAUUUCAGCUUUCUACAUAAAGUAUUAGGGUCUGUUCGGGACCAGUUUUUCCCACGUUAUACUCCUCAUUUUUUAAAACUGUUUCACAUGCUGAGAGAUCAAGUUAUUAGCUUUAAAAGUAGUAUUUUCACACCUCCCAAAUAUUUUUCUAUGAUUUAUGGAGAAUUUUACAAAACUUCCUCGCAUAACAAUUUAAUCCAGACUAGUCUGGAUAAAUGGUCGUUUUUACCCUAGCUAGACGUAUUUCUGGAUUACGGUCGAAACUAAUGAAGUGUAGAUGACUCAAUUAUGAAACUUUGUGCACUAAUUUCGAUGAAAAAUGGUUUUACAUGACUGAGAUGUGAUCUUUCAAAUACAUGGACAUAUUAGGAAAAAAAAAUCCUCAAAUCACAGCUUUGGCUUUUUACGGUUAAUUAGCUUCUUAACCCAUUAAGACCCAAUCCAAAAUGACUUAGAACUUGGAAAAUGAUUACUUCACAGGAGUGAAAAAUCAUUGAGUCCAAAGUUUCAUCCCAACUUCAAUUAUGACUCAAGGAAUAUAAUUUUUAAUGAGGAACGAAAGUAUAAUGCCCCUUUUGGUAACAUUAUCAAGUUAGGGUUUGGUUUCUCAACAAACUCUAGCUUCUCCAUCACGAAACCCAACCACCCAUGGCCAACCUAGCACGGUGGUUAUUGGUAAAUGGGAAUGGCAGCCAUGGCCAAGGCCAUUGUGAUUCUCGGCUAUACCCAAAAAAGAACAAAAGAGAAUAAGAGCAAAGGACUUCAAUCAUUCACCAUGAUCCCCCUUGAUUCCUACUUCUUGCUUGACCUUUUCUAUCCUUCCUUCUUCCUUGGAUCGACACCCACUGCAACCUCCUUCUAGACCAUAUAAAAAUCCUGCUCUCUUUCUCUUUCUCGGCUAGGGAAAAUCAUGGCACCCACACACAUACUGAAACUAGGUUUGUAUGUGUAGGUUUUGGGCUUAAACAAAGUUAUACAUCCAUAUACACGUGAUUUCUAUGAAUUGGGCAAAAAGUAAUUGGAUGUAAUCCCAAACCAUAUGAUCCCAUCAAUUUUCAUGGGCUAAAACCUUGAAUGUCAGUUAUAGCCCCCAAUCACUGCCAUAAUGACGAAACAUACCCUAAAACUAAAAAGCUUUACAUAAAUAGUUUUCUACUUUAGCACAAACUCCCUUACUAAAAAAUAUUUAGAUUUCUUUUAAUUAAUUAUUUUUCACUAAAUAUUAUAUAUAUAUAUAUAUAUAUAUAUAUAUAUAUAUAUAUAUUUCUUUUUAUUUAUUUUUGUUUACAAGAAAAACGAAUACUUGAAAAAUAGGGUGUUACAACUCUCCCCCACUUGAAUCAGUCUUUGUCCUUGAAGUCACUACUAGAUAUUAUAUGCUUGCAACUCCACUUUCAGCUCUUAAGUCCACCUGAGAUAUUUAUAAUGUCGUCAUUGAUCUUUUACUAACUCAACUCCUUGUGCACGAUGUCUUCAUCCCUCCUUUAAGGAUAGCAACCAAUUUAUCUAUAUGACUGAGUUGCUUCCAAAUUGAAACAUGUCAUUCAUCUUAUGCAUAACAUUUGUGCUCCCUAGUAUUCGGUGGUCGAUCUUACCCCACACAUAGGCGUCUUGCACUUCUUACUACAUAAUAGGACGAAUGACGAAACGCCAAUACAAUAUUGGAAGUAUGCUAAUACGCAACCGAGUACCCAUUUCCUCUUUAAACCUUUCAUACAACCGGGACAUGGAUUGUACAUACUUAUUAGAGACCAUACAAAUUGACAUCAUGUGCCUAGCUAUAACAUCCUUAGAGUAGAUAUCUUCUCAUUACCUCCGACGUAGGAACAUAUACCAGACUUUAGUAUGUCAGAUAACCCCGAAUUUCCAGAUCAAUAGUCACAAUCUUUCCUGAACUCCCAGGUCCAAUUGACAUUCUUAUCCUGAAAUAUCACUCCCUGCCACUUUUCAUCAAAUCCAAUAGAGGAAUAAACGUCUUCAUUCGUAAACACAACUCACGACGUGGCCUACUAGUUGACUCCCGACUAAGAUCAUUAACAACUACAUUUACUUUACCAGGAUGGUAAAGUAUCUCUCCAUCAUAACCCUUAACCAUGUUUGGUAAUAGAAUCUAACUCCUUGUAAAACUCUCAUAAAUAUAAAAUUUAUAAUCUGAAAUUCCAUAUACCGACCCUCUAAGGCUGAUGAUCAUUCUUACUCCUUCCUGCACAAACCAACUAAUCCAUUAAAAAGAAUAUAACCACACCCAAAAGAAGAAAUAUCUUGAUCAACACUUCUUUAACAUCUCGACAUGUACAAUGGUUACGACACUCAUCCAUAAAACUCCUAACACUCGAGCUAUCUUCUUGAUAAAUCAACAACACCCACUACACGAAUGAGGCAUACCCUAUACACUAGCUAGAGAUCUUCCAUCGAUAUGCCCAAUUUACACUCCUAGAUUGUUCCACAUCAUACCCAAGGUCUCAUAUCUUGUGUUGAACCAUACACCCAGGUACCCUCAUCAUUUAAUUAUUGAAUAAUUAGACUAACUAGUAUAGCACGCAUACAAUACCUACCAACUGUAAUCUCACAAACCACUAUUAUGGGUUUAUUGACAUAUAACCAUCCUCCCAUAGUCUUGUAGGUUUCUAAUUUCCAUUCUCUCGAAUCAUGCCAACUUUUCGGUCUUGCUAUAAUCCAAAACGAGGCUGUCUGGCUUAAGACCAACACCUUAAUGAGCCUAUAGGUAUAAAAUCAUGAUACCACAAACCUGAAGGAACCCAAACAUCAUCUUACAUCCCAUAACAGUAAAAUCCAUGAACAAAAUGAAAUAUCGAACCCUAGGAACCAAGAUAUAUCUAGUGUUCGGACCAUGUGUUAAAGCAAAAAGUGACCCUUUUAAACUUAGUCAUCCGCAAUCCUGAUGUGUGUGAAAUGAACUAGUUUUAAUCCUACUAACUUAGACACAAAAUAAACACACGAAAGGCAGUGUAACUAUCGAUUAGUAAUAUAGUUUGUCACACCCCCAAACCAAGGAUGGUGGAAAUGUCCGGGGGUGGAGGACUUCAUGUAGAGUAUCACAACAACGAGUAUAAUAGUGCUCAAAGUAAAUACAACCAUCAUAAAUAUAAUUGAAAAAAAAGUUACACCAAAGUAUAUGUUUACAUGAUUCAAAUCAAUUACAUUAUGAUACAAAAUGAACUGUUUGACGAUUUAUCGUCCCAUCCUCAAAACGUAGUUGAUUUCCUGUUUCACUGAAUUCCUGAGAAUACAAGUAGUUUUGAAAAGUGUCAACACAAAGGUUGGUGAGUUCAUAAGAUUUUGACGGUAAGAGUUUGAAAAUCGAUCUUUGUAAAGAGAUGUAUGUUACCAAGAAAAAUCCAAUAUUUUCCUUACAUAAGUUAUGUGGUCCUAAAUACCAGGACCGAAAUCGAACAAGUAUUUGUCAUACUUAAAGAUAUAAAAGUGGUUUCAAAUUGGCGUAAAACCCUUUCUGAUUUGAGAAAAACUCUCGUAAUGAAUGGUGUGUAGUCUUAAAUACUAAGACUGAAAAUAUACAGCGAUAUUUGUAAUUGAUAUAAAAAGUGAUUUUAAAUGAACAUAAAACCCUUUUUAAUAUGAAGACGUACAAGUAUUUUUCCGUACUUAAAGUAAUUUCUGAGAGCUAAAUCGACAUAACUCACUAAUUUAAAGUUAGAACCCGUAAAUCUUAUGAUUUGUUAAUACCACAUGUGAGCUAUCAUAACCAUACUUGACUUUGACGGCCUCGUAAUUGCGACGUUCUUCAGGCGUAGCGAAACUGAAAUGACACUUGUCACCACAGACCUGCCGGUCUAGCUGUUGCAAGCAGCUCUGGUGUGGGUUUGUCAAACCCAAUAUAGAUCUAUACACAACUAUCACGUUCUCCUUACAAGAGACUCUGGUUACAAUUUACAGGACUUUUUGAUUUGGUUACUUUGGAAGUAACCCGAAGCGAAUGACUCACAAAUUUAUUCAUUAACAGAUUUACGUGAUCUAAACUGAAAACCUUUGGUAAAAAGUUUGAGAAGUAAAUGAUACAUAAACUAUAUCUAUUAUAGUUUAUCCAAAACGUUUGUAAUGUAUAAGAACUCUUUUAUGAAACACAUUUGUGCUAUGAAUCCAUAAACUAUGCUUGUUAUAGCUUAAUAUACGUGUUCCAAAUGAAUGAAUAUUCUUAUUAUGAAUGACAAAUUUUCAGUUUAUGAUGAUAAAAUUAACAAAGAAACACAUUCAAUACUUAGAACUUAUUAUUAUACACUUUGCUCAACAUAAUACAAAGUGUUAUGAAAGUUAUAUGAUGUUAACUAAAUUAAACCUUUCUGCACUGUUUUAGAAAAGUCAUAGAAAAAUCAUACGAAGUCGAAAACUAAAUCCGUAAAUUCUGAGAGUUCCCAAAAUGUGUCUAGUUUACUCAUAAUUUUUAUCAUGAUUUUUAAUAACCUUCAACUUGGGUGAAAAAGUCCAUAAUCACAGACUGGUCCGGAUUGGUGUUUGAAAUGAUAGGCAGUUUUGUAAAAAUCACCAUAAAUUGUAGAAAAAUCGUAUGGAGAUGUGCAAGUAGUCAUUUUAAAGCUAAGAACUGAAACUACUUACACCUAAAACAGUUUUUCAAACAAAAAUGUUUAAGUUGUCCAAAACAGUCCGUGAAUGGAGUCCAACUUUUCUGAUGAAAGCUGUUAGAAAAUUUUAGUUAUGUUCUUGGUAUUUUAACUUGUAUUCCCCCCUAAAAACUUGAGAAAAUAUGAAAAUAUAGGGGUAAGAACUCACCUUGAGUGAUUUCAGUAGGUAAGUGUUGAAGAAAAGAAGUGUUCAACCCAAGAACACUUGAAGAAUCACUUGAAGAUUCGAAGAUCUAACAAGAAUGUGAUGAUGUUUGUGUAAGCAAUCUAUUAUUUUGAGUAUGAGGGUGUGCAAUCAUCAUAAGAAAGAUGAUGAUACUUACUAAUUGUAGGAGAAAAGUCUUGGAGUAUGCCUUGAAAUUCUCGAAUUGGAGAGAAAGAUGAGAGAGUUUGGAGUGUGGUUCUUGGUGAAAAAUGAGAGAAUGAAUGAAGUGUGAGGAGAGAGGGUGGAUGUUCCAGCCCUAAGAACGUGGGAAUGGUUGAAAAUAGUGAGAAAGGACUUAUGAAGUGACUAGGGAUGGGCUGGUGGUGAAUAGUGACAUGGAGUGGGUGUGGGAGUGGUUGCUUGUGUUAUAAAAUAAGGUAAAGUCAACACUCUACCCUUGUACUUCACCUACUCUCUUUUGGAUAAGGUUUUAUCCUUAAAAUGUGAUUAAUCAUUAAUUAAGGGGUGUUAUAUGUUAAAAUAAAGUUUUGGGUGAAAACCCCGUGUUAAAACAAUUAAAAACGGGCCUAAAACGCAAAAUUAGUCGAAAACCGGAAGAAAAGAGGCUUCCCAGCGAGACCUCGCGGUCCUGGCCGAGGCUCGGUCCUCCUGUGGCUGGGUUCGGUCCCUAAGACUGCUUGGCGCGAAGCGAAGGGGGCGAGGAAGCGAAGGGGCGAGGGCUCGGUGUACUCAGAAGCGAAGGCUCGGUCUUCGGUCUUCAGAAGAGAAAGCGAUCAGACCCGAAAUGUGCCGAACGUUCGGGUUCGGGUGAUGUGCGAGGUUCGGUUCCAGGAGCCUUCGGGUUCGGUUUUCUGAGUGAGGUUCGGUUCAGCAGCCUUCGGCUCAGAAGGGUUCGGGUCCUAAGAGGACUUUUGGGUCCUAAGAGGGGUUUCGUUUCCUUAAGUCCGUUUUUCGCGUAGACUUCAGUUUUUGGGCUGUUUUCGCCAAAUUUGAGGGUCGGGAUGCCCCGAGUGAUUAUAGAAAGUUGAGAGAGAUUUUGAGAGAGAUUCCACAUACUUAGAGAGAUUUGGGAGAGAUUUGACAUUCUUGGAGAGAUUUCACAUACAGAGAGAUAUUUAGGAGAGAUUUCACAUUCUUAGAGAGAUUUGACAUUCUUGGAGAGAUUUCUCAUACAAAGAGAGAUUUGGGAGAGAUUUCACAUACUUAGAGAGAUUUGGGAGAGAUUUGACAUUCUUGGAGAGGUUUCUCAUACAGAGAGAUAUUUGGGAGAGAUUUCACAUUCUUAGAGAGAUUUGGGAGAGAUUUGACAUUCUUGGAGAGAUUUCUCAUACAAAGAGAGAUUUGGGAGAGAUUUCACAUACUUAGAGAGAUUUGGGAGAGAUUUGACAUUCUUGGAGAGGUUUCUCAUACAAAGAGAGAUUUGGGAGAGAUUUCACAUACUUAGAGAGAUUUGGGAGAGAUUUCACAUACUUAGAGAGAUUUGGGAGAGAUUUGACAUUCUUGGAGAGAUUUCUCAUAUAAAGAGAGAUCUAGGAGAGAUUUCACAUACUUAGAGAGAUUUGGGAGAGAUUUCCGAUAAGAAGAGAUGGAGUGAAAACGAUUGAGAGCUGUUUUGUGUGUGACGAAUGUGAGUGUCCGGCUUCGCAAUGCAAGGUCCGUAAACCCCGUUAAGCCUUGUUUAAGGAUCUUGCAUACUCUCGAUGAGUAUGAAACAUUGUUUUAUCGGUUUGGCUCGCCACGUACCACAGUUUUAGGUUAAGGAGAUCUAGAUUUACGCACUUUUCGAUUUAUGAUCUCUCAUUAGAAUAGCGAGUUGUUUAGAAAUUACAUAACGUAAACUCUAGUACCUACGGGCAAAUCGAGUUGACCGGUUUGACUUGUUGACUUUAGUUGACUUUGACUUGACCGAAAAUUGACGGUUGUCACAUAGUUCAAGCAAGUAGGGUAUCGAACAUAGGGAACCAUAAAUAAUUAAAAUAAAUGCUAAUAUUAUCUAAAUAAAACAAGUAAUAGAAAGGGGGUUUUUUCUCUAAUUUUGCAAGACUAGAACCUUAAGCAAUCAAAUAACACUUAAAUGAAUGCAAUUAACAACUAAAGAGAAUAGAAGAUAACUAGAUUCAAUAAUAAAAGAAACUUUUGUUUAGAUUCGACUCACUUAUUCCUAUGGUUGAUUUUAUGGCAAGUGCAAUGGAUUAAUUUUUCAUUGGCUACUGAUUAAUGUGAUUAGGUUCAUGUUCACUAUUACUAAUCCUUAGAAAACAAAUCAAUUCAAACAGUGGCCAAUUGGUUAAAUUAAUGAGUUUCCUAGUUUAUUGAUUCAGGUUAAGUAAGACUUGUAGUUUAGCUAAUUAAAUUACUAAUUCAAUUAACUUCUUUUAUGGUUGUUCGUCACACAAGCUCACACAUUGACUUACCUAUUUUCUAGUUAACCCCCAGUUUUAUGUUCACUAUUCUUAGGCAUAUAAUAUUGUUUUCACAUAAAUUAUAUGAGACAAGCAUUUAAGAGAUGUUCGUGCAACUUAAUAGACUUGAUAAAUAAUAGAAAGUAGUUAUUAUCAACACAUAAGGAUCUUUAACAAGCUUAACAAAACAAAAUUCACCAAAUCAAAUUAAUUAAAGCCAUAAAAUCAAACCAUAUUCAUAAAUUCAUCUAGUCUAAACAGAAGUAAUGAGUUUUUAGCUCAUAUCUACAAGAAAUAACAAACUAAAAACGAAAUAUAAUGAUUGAAACAUGGUUCAUGCAAAAGAUUAAGAUAAAAGUAAUGUGUUAUUGCCUUUGAUCUUCUUCCAAAUUGAUAUCUAAGUUGAAAUCUCAAAAACCACAGCUCUAAGAACCCUUCUGGCCUCCAAAAAUCGUCCAAAGCUUCCCCAAUUAAUUAGGGUUCAAAUGUGUGACAAUAGUCAAAUUCGGGUCAAGUCUAAGCCGGACAAGGUCAACGAGUCAAACCGGUCAACUCAAUUAAACCUUGUAUAAUAGGGUUUGUAUUAUGUAAUUUCUGUAUAACUCACUAUCUUAAUGAGAAAACAUCACUUGGAAAGUUCGUGUGUUUAAAUUUCUUUAACCUUAGUGCUAAAUAAUGAACAAGAACAAUAAAACAAUGUUGCAUACUCAUAGGGAGUGUGUAAGAUCCUAAAACAUGGCAUAACGGGGUUUACGGACCUUGCAUUGCGAAGUCGGACACUCACAUUCGUCACACACGAAACCGCUCUCAAUCGUUUUCACUCUAUCUCUUCUUAUCGAGAAUCUCUCCCAAAUCUCUCUAAUUAUGUGAAAUCUCUCCCAAAUAUCUCUCUGUAUGUGAAAUCUCUCCCAAAUCUCUCUAAGUAUGUGAAAUCUCUCCCAAAUAUCUCUCUGUAUGUGAAAUCUCUCCAAGUAUGUCAAAUCUCUCCCAAAUCUCUCUAAGUAUGUGAAAUCUCUCCCAAAUAUCUCUCUGUAUGUGAAAUCUCUCCAAGUAUGUCAAAUCUCUCCCAAAUCUCUCUAAGAAUAUGAAAUCUCUCCCAAAUCUCGUUAAGAAUAUGAAAUCUCUCCCAAAUCUCUCUAAGAAUAUGAAAUCUCUCCCAAAUAUCUCUCUGUAUGUGAAAUCUCUCCAAGUAUGUCAAAUCUCUCCCAAAUCUCUCUAAGAAUAUGAAAUCUCUCCCAAAUAUCUCUUUGUAUGUGAAAUCUCUCCAAGAAUGUCAAAUCUCUCCCAAAUCUCUCUAAGAAUAUGAAAUCUCUCCCAAAUAUCUCUCUGUAUGUGAAAUCUCUCCAAGAAUGUCAAAUCUCUCCCAAAUCUCUCUAAGUAUGUGGGAUCUCUCUCAAAUCUCUCUCAAAAUCUCUCUCAACUUUCUAUAAUCACUCAGGGCAUCCCGACCCUCGAAUUUGGCAAAAACAGCCCACAAACGGAAGUCUAAGCGAAAAACGGACUUAAGGAACCGAAACCCCUCUUAGGAACCGAAAGUCCCCUUAGGAACCGAACCCUCCUGAUGAAGAAGGCUACCGAACCGAACCCUCCUGAUGAAGAAGAACCGAACCGAACCCUCUGAUGAAGAAGAACCGAACCGAACCCUCUGAUGAAGAAGAACCGAACCGAACCCUCCUGAUGAAGAAAAACCGAACCGAACCUUCGGACAGACCCCUCGCCCUUCGCUUCUCGCUUCUGGCUCGCGCCUUUCGCUUCCGAUUCAGCACCAGCAAGGACCGAACCUCGGCCUAGGGACCGAACCUCGGCCUAGGACCGAGAGGUCUCGCUGGGAAUGCUUUUUCUCCCGGUUUUCGACUAAAUUCGCAUUUUAGGCCCGUUUUUAAUUGUUUUAACAUGGGAUUUUCACCCAAAACUUUAUUUUAACAUAUAAGGACCCUUAACUAUUAAUUAAUCACAUUUUUAAGGAUAAAACCUUAUCCAAAAGAGAGUGGGUAAAGUACAAAGGUAGAGUGUUGACUUUACUUACUUCUAUGACACAAGCAACCACUCCCAUACCCACUCCAUAUCACUAUUCACCACCAGCCCAUACCUAGUCACUUCAUAGGUCCUUUCUUACUAUUUACAGCUAUUCCCACGUUCUUAGGGCUGGAACAUCCAUCCUCUCUCCUCACACUUUAAUCAUUCUCUCAUUUUUACCAAGAAUCACACUCCAAACUCUCUCAUCUUUUUCUCUCUAAUUCAAGAAUUUCAAGGCAUACUCCAAGACUCUUCUCCUACAAUUAGUAAGUAUCAUCAUCUUUCUUAUGAUUAUUACACAUCUUCCUACUCAAAAUCAAAGAUUCCUUACACAAACAUCAUCACAUUCUUGUUAGAUCUUCGAAUCUUCAAGUGAUUCUUCAAGUGUUCUUGGGUUGAACACUUCUCUUCUUCAACACUUACCUACUGAAAUCACUCAAGGUGAGUUCAUACCCCUACAUUUUUAUGUUUUCCUAAGUUUUUAGGGGGGGGGGGGGGGGGG